rnacentral:lncRNA from 1 species
GAACAGGGAGAUGAGGAGGGUAUCUCUGUUCAUACUAAUUUAGGUGGUGCACCUGUGGAAGAUCUGAAGCACCUGUCUCGGGCCAAUAUUUCUAUGGACAUUGAUACAUUCACAAGUCUCAAUCCAGAGGUGCUACAGAACCUGAGUCUCAGCAACGUGGCAAAAUUACUUGGGCGAAAUGUGGCAGAUCUUCGGAAGGCCCGGAGCAACCCAGCUGUAAGCUCUUGGCUCCAAAGCCAAAACCAGUCAGCCCUGGAGGCCCUGGGGUUGGAGGGGACCCCAAAGCAGCUGUACCCCUACCCUGCCACCACUGGGAAGCCUCUCCCUGCCUGGAUCACUGACGAAGGGCACAAGUCCUCUGCUUCACCCAGUGAGCAUAUCACUCUCGCCACUACCUCUGGCUGCUGUGUCCUGGUACCACUCCACCUCUUCAAUGCCCUUGGCCUCCCGGUAGGCCUUACCUUACUGAUGAAGCAUCUUUGAUACUCCUGGACAAGAAUUCUCUUCUUUUACCAGCCCUGCCCUGGACUCCACCAUCGUCUUUGAAUCAAAAGUUUCCCUUCUCCAAAACAUGGAGUUCGAUCUACAACUAGGACCCUUAUAUACUUCUCUCUUCAACUCAGAAUGGACAAGGGUGCCAAGCAGACUUGAGGCUGACUUUGGCCCUGAUCUGAUGAUGGGCCUUGGCCUUUGGGAGGCCUUGCUAUUCUCAGAACCUGGGUACCCAUUGGAGGAAUGAUGGCUGGACUGCAAGGGGACCUGCUCAGAGACCUUUUCCCUGCCCUUCCCCCAGGAGUCAUCUUCACAAAUGCUCUUACCACCCCUGGACUCCAGCCAGACAGGAUUUGGACUGAAGACUGUUUCUGCGGCAGUACCUUGGGGAAAGCUGGGCUCUUCACCUGAGCUGGCUGGGCUACCCUCAGCGGGGCAGCUCUCCACUGUCCAGACGCGGGAGACACAGGGCAAACCACCUGGGGCAGUCUCUGUCUUUCUCAAGUCUUCUAGAGUCCCAGAGGGCCUAAAUCCAGGCUGAGCAUGCUUGGAAACAGCUUGAAGGCCACAGAAGGUCAGGCCUCCCCUAGCAGGAGCCUGACUGCACCUCUGCCAAGAGCUAUGUUUCUCUGAGUGGGGAAAGCUCAAGUUUUGCUGUCUUUAU